UACAGAGGUCUCAAGCGUUGUUCGGAUUCAUUGGGCGUAAAGGGUGCGUAGGCGGCGCGGUAAGUCGGGUGUGAAAUCUCGGAGCUUAACUCCGAAACUGCAUUCGAUACUGCCGGGCUAGAGGACGGUAGAGGCGAGUGGAAUUCCCGGUGUAGCGGUGAAAUGCGCAGAUAUCGGGAGGAACACCAGUAGCGAAGGCGGCUCGCUGGACCGUUCCUGACGCUGAGACGCGAAAGCUAGGGGAGCGAACAGG
rnacentral:rRNA from 1 species